GAUGAACGCUGGCGGCGUGCUUAACACAUGCAAGUCGAACGGAAAGGCUCCUGCUUGCCGGGGCACUCGAGUGGCGAACGGGUGAGUAACACGUGGGUGAUCUGCCCUGCACUUCGGGAUAAGCCUGGGAAACUGGGUCUAAUACCGGAUAGGACCAUCGUUUAGUGUCGGUGGUGGAAAGUUUUUUCGGUGUGGGAUGAGCUCGCGGCCUAUCAGCUUGUUGGUGGGGUAAUGGCCUACCAAGGCGUCGACGGGUAGCCGGCCUGAGAGGGUGUACGGCACCGGUGGGAGCGAGCACGGGCGCGGCAUGCUAAGGGGGGCAGGGGGGGGGAGAAGUGCACGAGGGGCGCAACCGUGCGGCAGCGGGGCGGGGGGGGGGAGGGCGGCCUGCGGGUGGUAACCUCCUAUCGCGAAGGGAGAGGCGAACGUGACGGUGCGGGGAAAAGGACGACCGGACAACGACGAACCCUCGGCGGCGUGAAGAGAUGGAAGAGCACACGCUGAAC
rnacentral:rRNA from 1 species